CUCCCUGAGACUUUAAGUCUCCUGAAGGAACGUUAAAGACGAUGACGUUGAUAGGCCGGGUGUGUAAGCGCAGCGAUGCGUUGAGCUAACCGGUACUAAUGAACCGUGAGGCUUAACCUUAC
rnacentral:rRNA from 1 species